CUUUAUUAAAAAAUCUCUUUCAUUUCAGUCAAACCUUCUCUCUCCUUUCACUCUCUCUUACCAAACCCUCUCUUCUCGAAUUACCAAAGUUGUUGUUGUCCGAUCGUUGUCGUCACCGGCGUUGUUUGGGUCUCUGUCAUCCAAUCAUUGUCGUGGGCGUUGUCCAAUCGUUUUUGUGGGCGUUGUCGUGGGUCUCUGUCGUCUUCAAUAACGGUUCCCGAUCGUUGUUGUGGUCUCUGUCAUCGGCGUUGGUUGGAUCUGUAGAUUUGGGUCACCGACAUUGGCGGGUCGUCACUGGCAUGGUGGAGGUCGUCGUUCGUAGAGUCCAUAGAUUCCGUCGUGGAGGUGGGUCGCCAUCCGUAGAUCUGUAGAUCUCCUCUGGUCGUCCGUCCAUCCAGCUUUUCCGAUCCGGAUCAUAAGAUUUCAAGGCAUGAGUUGAUAAAGAAAGUGAGGCAGAUAGUAGGGGACAAGUUGUUGAUACAUGUAAUCAAAUCAUUCAGGACACAGGUUUUAGACAAUGUUUUCAUCCUUCAAAUGUCAAGUCAGGUUUUAGACAAUGCCACACUUGUCAUGUCCGUCAAUCUCUAAGGGAACAGCCUAUGAACAAAGCAAGAGCUAAAUCAUAUUGAGUUGUGAUGGUUAAUUCUUCAUUAUCAUCGUCGAGUCUUUUGUUCUUUCUUGUUUAACCUGCAUUGCGGAUUGGAAGGUGGAAUGGUUUGAGAAGAACAUUUUGAAGAGGGGUUGUGCCUGAGACUGCUACAAAGAAGGGAAAGGACUACCCUGUUGGCCCUAUUCUUCUUGGAUUCUUCAUUUUUGUCGUCAUUGGAUCAUGGAAUAAGGAUGUUUCUUUUCAUCAUCAUGGUUGUCAAAAUAUUGAUAAGAUAUGGAGAAAUGAUAUCUUAUCUUGUCGUGUCUAUCUUCGACACUGGUAAGUAAUUUGCAGUGUAUCUUAUGUCCCCAAGCAAAUAUUUUCCUAUAAUAGCAACAACCUUCAACAUGAAACUUAGAAAUAAGGAUUUAUUUAAUUUGUUUCAAAGUCCAUUGCUAUACAUUAUAUCUGUUGAAGUUGUGACCAAAAUAAAACUUCUUUCCUUUCCUUUCCUUUGUUUUGUACUUCUAUUUGGAAUUUUCUUAAUACUCCUCUUAGGUGAAGUGAUUGGAAACUGGGGAGACCUUUGCCAUAAAGAAAGUCUUGCAGGACAAACAUUAAGGACAUUUUUUCUUUAUUCUUUUCCAUCUUCAUUCCGACACUAAAUUAAUGUGUUUAUUAGAUCUUCAAGGGGCUAGCUUAUAUUCACAUUGUUCCUAGAGUUUGUCAUCGAGAUGUAAAGCCUCAUAAUCUUUUGGUAUGUAACGUAUUUGUGUCUUAUUAUUUGUGAGCUAAGUAAUAGUUUCUCUUCUCCUCUUCUUUCAUGGGUUCAUUUUGAUUCUUCUUUCUGACGCUUUUAAUCUCAAGAGAAUAGCCUGGAAGCGCUGCAUUGAGCUUUGGAAGCUUUUGGGCUCUAAUGGGUUUCACCAAACCUCAUAAGCCCACCAAUGGCUUCUCUCCCAUAUGGAUUUUUCUAUUCUGCGUUGCUAGCUUCUUCCUGGGUAUUUUUGUUGUCGACAGUGAAUGCAAUUACCAAUAUCAAGUCAAACUUAUGGGAUAAAGAUGGAUUGGCAAGGAGAUCCAUGUGUGCCAAUGGAGUACCCUUGGAGUGGAUUGAAUUGUAGGAAUGCAACUACUUCAAGAAUCAUUUACUUGUGGGAGAAUAGCCCCUAGCUCCAAAAAUUGACAUCAGAAAACUUGGGAAGACAUCGUUGAACACUUUCAUUUAUCUUCAGCUUAUUUUUAAUCAUUUUAACCAUUUUGUAAUUUAUUUAUUUUGAAUGCUAUUCUUGUAUACAACUUAGUAUGUAUUACUUGAUCAAUGCAAAAUAUAUAUGUAUACUUCAUGGUUGAUAAGUUGGAAUUUGCUA